rnacentral:rRNA from 1 species
AACGAACGCUGGCGGCAGGCUUAACACAUGCAAGCCGAGCGCCCCGCAAGGGGAGCGGCAGACGGGUGAGUAACGCGUGGGAAUCUACCUAUCUCUACGGAACAACUCCGGGAAACUGGAGCUAAUACCGUAUACGCCCUUCGGGGGAAAGAUUUAUCGGGGAUAGAUGAGCCCGCGUUGGAUUAGCUAGUUGGUGGGGUAAUGGCCUACCAAGGCGACGAUCCAUAGCUGGUCUGAGAGGAUGAUCAGCCACACUGGGACUGAGACACGGCCCAGACUCCUACGGGAGGCAGCAGUGGGGAAUAUUGGACAAUGGGCGAAAGCCUGAUCCAGCCAUGCCGCGUGAGUGAUGAAGGCCCUAGGGUUGUAAAGCUCUUUCACCGGUGAAGAUAAUGACGGUAACCGGAGAAGAAGCCCCGGCUAACUUCGUGCCAGCAGCCGCAGUAAAAC